CGGCCGGGCUGCCAGCGCCACACGUCAGGGAGGGCGGGGGAGCGGGGCCGCGGGGCGGGGAGCGCCGCGCAGGGGUGGGAUCAGCCGGAGCACCGGCACCCCGACAUCCCUCAUCCCGCCCCCACAGCCCGGCAUCCCCGCAGCCUGCACCUAGGGACUUCGCACCCGCUACCCCUUGGCACCCCAGUUCCUUCGCAGCCUCCAGCCCAAACACCCCUGUGGCAUCCCUGGCUCCUCCACGCCACCGCUCCCCGGCAUCUCGCACCUUCUGAUCGGCAUGAGAAAGAUAAUUCAGCAGGGGACCUGGGGCCAAGAAGAAAAGGGAACCAGGAAUCCUGUGUUCAACAUAGGAUAUACUUUGCCCAGUCUGUCCUACAGAAAUAGUGGGCAAAACUGGAAGAUCUCAUUGCAACGCAGACAUCUACAGCCCCAGCCUCAAAUACUGACCUUUUCACGGGUGCUCUUUACCCCAUCCAGCCCCCAUGGGAUGGAGGCAGGGGCUUGACACCUACCAGUCUGUACACAACCAGCAGCUGCACACAGGAUGUUUGCAGUGAACUGAUCUCAAAGCCGUGUACCCAAGACUGAAGAAGGUCAGGGAAGCAAGGAAGAGAGGGCAUAGCUGACUCCUGCCCCUUAGCCUACAAUGUCUUUCCUUCUCCAUCUUCCCCUCUGCAGGUCCUGGGGGCAACUGAGCUUCCAUUAUUAUGACAAUCCAAGUUAGUCCUAAGUGGGAUCUGUUUAACUUAGUUAUUGAAGAGCUAGUUCCAGGGAAGCAUCCUUGCUUGGGACAGUGCUUACGCACAUGUUUAAAGGGACAAACUUGCAUCACUCCUUCUUGAGUUGGGAACUCUCAUCUCACAGGGGAAUUUGCCUCGUUCUUGCAGUCGUCUGUGCUUGAACUGUUGUGGGUUUUGUUGUUUUUUUGGGUUUGGUUUUUUUUUCCCAAGUUGAGUUUUGCCCCAUGUAAACACCAAACAUGUUUACUUUUCAGAGAGUUUCAUUUGGGCUAGAAAAGGCAUAAGAAUUCGUGGAGAAUUUGUGGCUUCAGUGGGUAAAAGAGAACAGAAAAGUCACCAACAACAGGCUGCUUGCUGAAGGAUGUGGAGUCAUCAGAUAAACAUGGCUGGCCCUACCAGGGCUGGUCAGUCUUGCCACUGCUGUGGAAACAUGCUGAUAAAGAUAAACCAACCUAGUGGGAAUGACAGGAGACAGGAGUGGCUGAGAAAAAGCAAAAGUGCCACUAUAAAGGAAAUAAAAAACCUGUCAGUACCUCAUCAUUUGGAAGAUGAUUUCAUUCUCAAAUGAAACAAAUUACUUUUGUCCAAAAUAAUGUUGAGUGGAAGGUGAAGGCUCAUGGAUGUGGAAACACAGCCCCUGCAACACAAAAUGGGGCCAAAAAGUUAUCAAGAACAGAGUGAACUCUAGAGCAAAACAGAGGUGCACCAACACAGGAGUUUGAUUGCAGAGGACCUGCUCUCUGUCC